rnacentral:rRNA from 1 species
CACGUAGGGCGCAAGCGUUGUCCGGAAUUAUUGGGCGUAAAGAGCUCGUAGGUGGUUUUGUUACGUCUGCUGUGAAAACCUAGGGCUUAACCCUGGGCUUGCAGUGGGUACGGGCAGACUAGAGUGUGGUAGGGGAGGACUGGAAUUCCUGGUGUAGCGGUGAAAUGCGCAGAUAUCGGGAGGAACACCAAUGGCGAAGGCAGCUCGCUGGGACGGUACUGACGCUGAGGCGCGAAAGCGUGGGGAGCAAACAGG